rnacentral:rRNA from 1 species
UACGGAGGGUCCAAGCGUUAUCCGGAUUUAUUGGGUUUAAAGGGUGCGUAGGCGGUUUGAUAAGUUAGAGGUGAAAUCUCGGAGCUCAACUCCGAAACUGCCUCUAAUACUGUCGAGCUAGAGAGUAGUUGCAGUAGGCGGAAUGUAUGGUGUAGCGGUGAAAUGCUUAGAGAUCAUACAGAACACCGAUUGCGAAGGCAGCUUACUAAACUAUAUCUGACGUUGAGGCACGAAAGCGUGGGGAGCAAACAGG